rnacentral:tRNA from 1 species
CGGGCCGUGGUCGAAGGCGUGCCGGGCGGCGGCGACCGCCGCGUCGACGUCGGCCCUGGUGACCGCGGGGACGCUGCCCACCGGCUCGACC